CCUACGGGGGGCAGCAGUGGGGAAUAUUGCACAAUGGGGGAAACCCUGAUGCAGCGACGCCGCGUGAGCGAUGAAGUAUUUCGGUAUGUAAAGCUCUAUCAGCAGGGAAGAAAAUGACGGUACCUGACUAAGAAGCCCCGGCUAACUACGUGCCAGCAGCCGCGGUAAUACGUAGGGGGCAAGCGUUAUCCGGAUUUACUGGGUGUAAAGGGAGCGUAGACGGCAAUGCAAGCCAGAUGUGAAAGCCCGGGGCUCAACCCCGGGACUGCAUUUGGAACUGUGUAGCUGGAGUGUCGGAGAGGCAGGCGGAAUUCCUAGUGAAGCGGGGAAAUGAGUAGAUAUUGGGAGGAACCCAAGUGGCGAAGGCGGCCUGCUGGACGAUGACUGACGUUGAGGCUCGAAGGCGGGGGGAGCAAACAGGAUUAGAAACCCGAGUAGUC
rnacentral:rRNA from 1 species